rnacentral:rRNA from 1 species
ACGGGGAGCAGCAGGCGCGAAACCUUUACACUGCACGAGAGUGCGAUAAGGGGACUCCAAGUGCGAGGGCAUAUAGUCCUCGCUUUUUCCGACCGUAGGAUGGUCGGCGAAUAAGUGCUGGGCAAGACCGGUGCCAGCCGCCGCGGUAAUACCGGCAGCACAAGUGAUGACCGCUAUUAUUGGGCCUAAAGCGUCCGUAGCUGGCCACGCAAGUCCAUCGGGAAAUCUCUCCGCUUAACGGAGAGGCGUCCGGUGGAAACUGCAUGGCUUGGGACCGGAAGAUCCAGAGGGUACGUCUGGGGUAGGAGUGAAAUCCUGUAAUCCGAGACGGACCACCGGUGSYGAAAGCGCUCUGGAAAGACGGAUCCGACGGUGAGGGACGAAAGCUCGGGUCACGAACCGGAUUAGAUACCCGGGUAGUCCGAGCUGUAAACGAUGUCUGCUAGGUGUGGCACAGGCUACGAGCCUGUGCUGUGCCGUAGGGAAGCCGUGAAGCAGACCGCCUGGGAAGUACGUCUGCAAGGAUGAAACUUAAAGGAAUUGGCGGGGGAGCAC